CAAAACUUCAAUCUUUUUUCCAAACCUUCUCCAAGCUUCCAAACCAUCCCUACCAAAACCUAAUCUUUUCACGAUUCAACUCGUAAAUCCACAGAAAGCUCAACUUCGAUUCCUUCCUUCAAUCUUCGAUUACUGAAUCUGCAAACCAUCUUUUUCAAAUUCGAUUCCUUACUUCAAUCUUCGAUCCCCUCAACAAUCUAUAUUCAUAAUCUUCAACCGAUUUCAGAAUCGAUUUCCACAAACACCCAAAUCGAUUCCCUCAAACCCGCAAACACCCAAACCCAAACCCAUCACAUUCCAUCUUUGUAUUAUUUCAUAUGUGGUCCCUAUCCCUAUCGAACUCUUCUCUUGACAUGAAAAACUGAGGUUUGUGAAAAGAAACAAGCAGAUCUAUUGUUAUUUGAGGAGGUUUGCUGCCAAAUCAGGAGGAUCUAGAGCUGUGACCCAUCCCUGUUAUUUGCAAUGCCAAAGUCCAGGAGGAUAAAGAAUUUUGUUAAAGUAUCAUAUGAGAGCUCUUCACAUGGUGCAUCUUUCCCCAAUCUAACUUCCCCACGACAUCCACAAGAAGAGGUUCUAAGUUCACAUCGUGGAGCAAAGGAAAAGUGGUCAGAUAUGCCAGCUGAUUAUUUUGAGACACAAUGGAAAGACCUCUUUGAGGCAUAUGCUAUUAUUUCAAAAGCAUCAAGCUCAACUAAUCAGUUGAAGGAGAGCAUAAAAUUAGGGAAAUGAGGAGGGCCACACAUACAUGGAAGAGAUCAGAGAUAAACUCUACAACAUAAUUAAAGAGCUUAAGUUUAUUUUAUAAACGUUCAUCAGGUUGCUGGACUGUGUUACACAUUGUAAUAUGACAAUUUAUGUAUAAAAAUAAUUUAUACUAGUUCUAAUAAUUGUUAUUUAGGUGA